AUUGAACGCUGGCGGCAGGCUUAACACAUGCAAGUCGAGCGGGGGAAGGUAGCUUGCCACCGGACCUAGCGGCGGACGGGUGAGUAAUGCUUAGGAAUCUGCCUAUUAGUGGGGGACAACAUCUCGAAAGGGAUGCUAAUACCGCAUACGUCCUACGGGAGAAAGCAGGGGAUCUUCGGACCUUGCGCUAAUAGAUGAGCCUAAGUCGGAUUAGCUAGUUGGUGGGGUAAAGGCCUACCAAGGCGACGAUCUGUAGCGGGUCUGAGAGGAUGAUCCGCCACACUGGGACUGGGACACGGCCCAGACUCCUACGGGAGGCAGCAGUGGGGAAUAUUGGACAAUGGGGGGAACCCUGAUCCAGCCAUGCCGCGUGUGUGAAGAAGGCCUUAUGGUUGUAAAGCACUUUAAGCGAGGAGGAGGCUACUCUAGUUAAUACCUAGGGAUAGUGGACGCUACUCGCAGAAUAAGCACCGGCUAACUCUGUGCCAGCAGCCGCCGUAA
rnacentral:rRNA from 1 species